GAGAAAUUACAACAGACGUCAAUGAUAACCAAAACUCGUGUUCAACAGAGGGAAAGUCACACAGAUUCGGAACGACACGAGGCCAGGGCUGCCCUUGAACUAGCAGAGAUAAACACUGCAAAGUCCCGAUAACAUAUGGCUGCUCUCCAGCUCUAUGAGCCGACAGACCUCUCCAGAUCCAGCAGUUAUCAGAUUCAAGGUGAGGUGUCUCACUGCUGGGUUGUAUUAUGUAGCAUAGUAUGUAAAACAUGAGUAUGAUUGAUAAUGUCCGUGAAAAAUUAUAUAAAUUUAACCUAAAUAGAUGACAAAAUUUGAUUAUAGUGCUAAAGAGUGUUGUUCUGCCUUUCAACUGUAACAAUUGAAAGCUUUUGUCUAAAGAAACAUGCUCUCAACUGAGUUGGAAUUAUCUACAAUAUCAGUCUGGAGUUACUGUCAAAAAGCAUUAAAGGAAAGUAAAACCCAAGAGGCAACAGCACUCUGCUGUUUCUAAGAGACGAGAGCCUGUUCCUCAGCAGCCAGUGUUUGCCUUUAAAUUAGUGUCUGUUUACCGACACAAGGGUGAAAAUGAUGUUUAUAACUCCCACUCCAAUAGUGGCAUACACAGGCUGACCAACACCAGCAGUCUGGAAGAUCGAAGUAGAGUAAUAAAAGAUCUAGAAAAAACACAAAGACAAGAACAAAUAUUACUGUUAGUAAUGUGGUCCAUAAAACUUAAAUCGAAAUGGUUUUUUCAAUAAAAUGGGAGUAGGUAGGUUGAGCGUACAGCGUUGAUCCCAGAGAACUGCUGGGAAAAGUGCAUCAUGAGGGCCACAAAGAGCUGCUGGCGGUACACCGAGGAACGGAGUAGCCGCCAGAUGGACAUUUUCGCCUCUUUCAUGGCCUCCUCCUUCUCUGCCUGCAUCUCUGCUAUGUCUUUUGAGGUGUCGUAAUCUCCCUUCAGCCUUUUCAGAUCUACAAAAGGAAGAAGGAUGGCAAAAACCGAGCAACAUUAUUUUGUCUGAUCUUCGGGGAAGUUCAGAAUGAAGGCCUGUUGACACCAUAAGCAAUAAUUAUAACAAUAACUAAGCUAUUUUUUACGUUUUAAAAAUCACUCAACUCUACUAGAAUAGUGGAGUCCACAUCACAACUAACGACAUCGACACAGGAACAAUAUUGUCCUAUUUUCAUAAUUUUAUUGAAGAACAUUUUUUUAUAGGGGGUGAACCAUUGACGGUUUGUUGGUGUAGAUGCUAAUAUCAUUAUCAUCAUAGUGUUCAGUUUUGGUGUGAAAGGGCCUUUAGAGAGAAGAGCAUUAAUUCAUUUAACAUUCAAAUUAUUAUGAAAGUGUUUUAGUGGCACGUUGAAAAAACAAAUCAUACUAAUAAUCUUAUCACAAUAGGAAAAAGCAGCUUCAUCAAUGUGAAAGAUUUAGAAUGACUAGAAUGCUUUAAUAUUUUCUAACAAAGAAAUACUUUUGGCAAAACAGCACAGAGUUUUCAUUAGUAUCCGGCAGUGGUUAUGAACUGUAGGAAAUUGAAUUUAUUAAGGAGAAACAACCAGACAGACAUUCAGGAAAUUGCCUGUUUUGUGCAAUCUGUAAUAGCAGCCAGUAGUCAGCUCCACUUCACUGUGAUGAUACUUUCCUUAUUCUCAUAAUAUUGUGACUUCGAUCUCACAAAACUUUAUCCUUGUAAUUUUGACUUUAUUCUCAAAACAUUACCACUUUAAUGUCAUAAUGUUGUGACUUUAUUCUCUAAACUUUGACUAAGGUUUAAGCCUAUUAUGAGAUUAUUCUUGACUUUAUUCUUAAAAUAUUUCUUUUAUCGUUGCACAAAAAUGAUCUCUCUAUAAAUACAAAUUGCAUAUUUAAGCAUACAGUGUCCAUGAGGAAAGAGUGAGAAGGCUUUGGCACAUACUCUUGCAUGCUUCUUCCACUUUGCCCUGUUUGAUGUAGAGGUAUCGAGGACUCUCUGGACACAGAAGCAGCAGCAGACUCUGCAGGAUGGCAGGAGCUCCAGAAAGACCCAGCAGUACGUGCCACAUGUCAUCAUUUCCCAGCAGGAACUCCAGACCAAUGACCUGUAGAUAACAAGGACACCUGCACACAUCUUACAGCUUCUAAUAAAAGCCUGAAAAAGAAUUACUAACAAAAUAACUUCAAAAAAAGGUUGAUUUUUUUGAAAGUGAUGAAGACUAAGAGCAGAUCAUGUGACCUUAGACUUCAUAAGCAUUUUACUUAAAAUACAAAUUCAUAUUACUUUUUCUGUUGAAAAGCUAUUAUAAACCAUCACUGUUUUUUCUAUUUUAUUUUUUAUCAAUUGUUUUACGUGACUGUUAAACAGAUUUUCCAUGAAAGGUCAUGUAUGGCCAUGCUCUUUUAUUUAAAUAUUGAAUAUUGAGUUCCCGCUAUGAAGCUUUGAAUCUUUAUGCAUUUGUGGAUUAAAACUAUUAUAAAAGUGG